rnacentral:rRNA from 1 species
UACAGGGGGGGCAAGCGUUGUUCGGAAUUACUGGGCGUAAAGGGCUCGUAGGCGGCCAACUAAGUCACACGUGAAAUCCCCAGGCUUAACCUGGGAACUGCGUGUGAUACUGGAUGGCUUGAGUUCGGGAGAGGGAUGCGGAAUUCCAGGUGUAGCGGUGAAAUGCGUAGAUAUCUGGAGGAACACCGGUGGCGAAGGCGGCAUCCUGGACCGACACUGACGCUGAGGAGCGAAAGCCAGGGGAGCGAACAGG